rnacentral:rRNA from 1 species
AGGGCACCACCAUUAGUGGAGCCUGCGGCUUAAUUUGACUCAACACGGGAAAACUUACCCGGUCAGGACACUGGAAGGAUUGACAGAUUGAGAGCUCUUUCUUGAUUCAUUGGGUGGUGGUGCAUGGGCGUUCUUAGUUGGUGGAGCGAUUUGUCUGGUUAAUUCCGAUAACCAACUAGACUCUAGGCUACUAUAUAGAUUGCUCGCUUACUGACGCCCUGCACUCUGCUUUUACGGAGAGGCGAGGAUUAUCAGCUCCGUCAAAGGCAGUUAUUCGGUUAUGGACAGGCUUAGGUGAUCACGCACGAAAGAACGCUACACCAAAACGGUCAUGGUGCUUUCUGUCCCUACUCUGCCCCGCGUGGCAAACCAGUUUCCAUCUGCUCCGCCACCGUGACAAGCAACUCCAAUAUCGCCCCUCAAGUCAAAACUUCCUAGUCAGCGCGAGACAUGAUCGCGCGUUGAUUACUUCCCCUGCGAAGCUGUACACUGCGCGCAUCUCUACUGACCAUGCAGCGU